rnacentral:rRNA from 1 species
GUCUACGGCCAUGCCACCCUGAACAAGCCAGAUCCCAUCUGAUCUCGGAAGCUAAGCAGGGUCGGGCCUGCUUAGUACUUGGGAGGGAGACCACCUAGGAAGACUGGGUGCUGUAGCUG